rnacentral:lncRNA from 1 species
CACUACAAUAAAAACGGUCUAUACCGACACUUUUAAAUAUCGGUAUAAGUCGAAAAAAAUACUGCUGGCUAAAUUACCGACACUUUUAAAAAGUGUUGUUAUAUGUGAGGUCAUUAGGUAUAUAGUGACAGUUAAAGAGUGUCGCUAUAAUCUAAAAGAGUGCUGUUAAUUUAACAAUAUUUAUUUAAGCAUCUAGCAACCGCCGGAACUCUAUCUCUUUGGCUGCGGUGGCGGAGGAGGACGAGAGGAAGAUAUUUUCGUCUAGGAUUUCAGUCGAUUGAAUGAGGGGAGAAGGGGAAAUGGUAAUCGAUUUUUCUUUUCUUUUUCUUUUCUAUUUGUAAUCGAACCGAAUGACCUGGAUGGGGUGGGUUGAGUAGAGUACUCUUUUAUUUUUGAUUGGAUUGAACUUUAUAUUUAGGUAUUAGUAGGUUUUUUUUUAAGUUUUGGCAUAAAUGUGACACUUAUACAAAAAUGUCACAAACAUAUGUCUCUAUAACCUAAUUCUAUUGUAGUGUAAAAUAAAUUAAAAUUUUAAAUAAUAAAAUUAAAAUUUGAAAGUUUUGAUAGUUGAUUUAAAGAUUCAUAUAUAGUUCAAAUAUUUUUAAU